rnacentral:antisense_RNA from 1 species
UGCUAUGGCGGGUCGCACAGGGAGACCUUCGGGUCUGCCGGGUAGUGGUUACCGGCUCGCCAACCCUGUGCGGCUCCGCCACCCUU